AGGUACUGGGGAAUAGCUGGGGGUCCAGUCCUGUCUGUGUGGCUGGCUCUAGACGACUCACUGGCAGAAAACGGAGCCCUGCAGGUCAUCCCAGGCAGCCACUGCUCGGACCUGCUGCCCCACCACCUUUCCUCCCGCCCAGGCAACAUGCUGUCAGUCAACCAGGAGAUCUCUGAGGAGCUGGUGCAAACGAACAGCGCUCUACUCUGCCCCCUGCUGGCUCGGCAGAUACCGUCCCAGGUGUUUCCAUUCUACAGUGAUGGCCAGUGGAUCAGACCAGUUCAGUCACUUCUCCACCUUGCUGUGAUGAGCCUUUCACCAUAACUACAACCAUAUCCAUACUGAUCGCAUUACUGUCUACCUAGAGGAACCUAAUGAUGCUGUAUUCACCUGUAGACUUACUGCUGUGUUCACCUGUAUGACUUACUGCUGUGUUCACCUGUAUGACUUACUGCUGUAUUCACCUGUAGACUUACUGCUGUGUUCACCUGUAUGACUUACUGCUGUGUUCACCUGUAUGACUUACUGCUGUGUUCACCUGUAUGACUUACUGCUGUAUUCACCUGUAUGACUUACUGCUGUGUUCACCUGCAUGGCUUACUGCUGUAUUCACCUGUAUGACUUACUGCUGUGUUCACCUGCAUGGCUUACUGCUGUAUUCACCUGUAUAACUUACUGCUGUGUUCACCUGUAUGACUUACUGCUGUAUUCACCUGUAUGACUUACUGCUGUGUUCACCUGUAUGACUUACUGCUGUAUUCACCUGUAUGACUUACUGCUGUAUUCACCUGUAUGACUUACUGCUGUGUUCACCUGUAUGACUUACUGCUGUGUUUACCUGUAUGACUUACUGCUGUGUUUACCUGUAUGACUUACUGCUGUGUUCACCUGUAUGACUUACUGCUGUGUUCACCUGUAUGACUUACUGCUGUAUUCACCUGUAUGACUUACUGCUGUGUUUACCUGUAUGACUUACUGCUGUGUUUACCUGUAUGACUUACUGCUGUGUUCACCUGUAUGACUUACUGCUGUGUUCACCUGUAUGACUUACUACUGUGCCGCCUCUAUCUGUAUUUGUUUACUUGGGAAUGUAUACAGUGGGCUCCAACAGUAUUGUGACAGUGACAAAUGUGUUGUUGUUUUGGUUGGCUCUGUACUCCAACACUUCGGAUUUGAAAGAAUACAGUGACUAUGAGUUUAAA